GAUGAACGCUGGCGGCGUGCCUAAUACAUGCAAGUCGAGCGAACAGAUGAGGAGCUUGCUCCUCUGACGUUAGCGGCGGACGGGUGAGUAACACGUGGAUAACCUACCUAUAAGACUGGGAUAACUUCGGGAAACCGGAGCUAAUACCGGAUAAUAUAUUGAACCGCAUGGUUCAAUAGUGAAAGACGGUUUUGCUGUCACUUAUAGAUGGAUCCGCGCCGCAUUAGCUAGUUGGUAAGGUAACGGCUUUCCAAGGCAACGAUGCGUAGCCGACCUGAGAGGGUGGUCGGGCACACUGGAACUGAGAAACGGUUCAGACUCCUACGGGAGGCAGCAGUAGGGAAUCUUCCGCAAUGGGCGAAAGCCUGACGGAGCAACGCCGCGUGAGUGAUGAAGGUCUUCGGAUCGUAAAACUCUGUUAUUAGGGAAGAACAAAUGUGUAAGUAACUAUGCACGUCUUGACGGUACCUAAUCAGAAAGCCACGGCUAACUACGUG
rnacentral:rRNA from 1 species